GGAAGCUUGAAAACACAAGAGAGGAAGUGAUUAUAAGAACCCAACGAGGGCUGUAGAUGAAGGAGGGGGUUGCUGUGGCCUUCCUGCAGGAAACAACCAGCCACACCACGGCCCACCCAUCCCCCACGGGCAAGGAACUAGAAUAAUAAACACCCUGCCGCUCUUUCCUCCUGCCCUCCUGUUUCCUGCUGGCGUCCACUGUGGCCUCAGGUCGACCAGAACUGAGAAGGCGAGGAAGCUCCAUUGGCAUAGUUUAUACAGCUUGGCCCCAGGGACAGGGCAUGGUGGAGGAGAAAGAGGAGCAGAACUGGAGAGACCAACAGAACAUCCAGCACGCAAGUAUUUCAUACACAGGAUAAAGCCACACACUAGAAAAUGGCGCCAACUGUGGACCUAGCAUGAGGAAAUGAUGUCAACCUAAGGCAGGGCUUUGAGUAAACGGGAAAGAGAAAGCUGGUCCACAGGGACAGGAGGCUGGCCUCCAGGUCCGGAAAGUAGCAGGAAGCCCAGGGCCAGUGGAGACAGAGCAGAGCGGGAGAGAAACUGCAAAUCCCCCUUCAGGUUCCUGGUUCCAGUUCUCUGGAAAGGCCUGGUGACCUGUUUUUGUGAAAGUCCCUUGAUUCCACACAAAACAUUGCCCUUUUACGUAAGACAGCAUGAGGAAAUUUUCAAUUUGACAACCAAAGAACUUUGGGUAUACUUCAUUUGAAACAAAAGAACUUUGAGCACACCGAAUUUCAUUUAAUCCCCAUAACAACCCUGAAAGGUGGGCACCUUCACCCCCAUUUUAAAGAUGAGGAUAUUGAAGGUCCCGGUGAGAUUAGAUAAUCUUCACUGAGGAAGCUGGGACUCACUCACUCUUGGCUUGGCCUGACUCCAACACUUCAGAAUUUUCUAGGACUCCACAAGCUGACAAAGCUGGCUGAAAGCAAUUUCCAAAACCAGAAGAGAACCCCACCCUUGACCAGGUCACCCCUGUGGGGAAACGACUUGCUGUCUCAGCUUGCUAGCUAAGGCUUUCGGGGUCCUGCUGAGGAGCUGGCAGGCAUGGCCACCCAGCACAGAAAUGUUUGACAGGGUCAAGGAAGGGACCAACUCUGGAUUUGUAAAACUACAGCCAAGUUUUGUUUUGUUUUGUGUUUUUUCCAAGAACUCCUAGAAGAGCAAUGUAUUUGCAAAAGCUGGAAUUCCUUAGCUAAAUACCAAGGACUGAGUUGACUGCCCAUGGGAACAACCCUCCACCCUGUAUCCCCAAAUACCCAACACGGAGUGCCAGGUGAACAAUUCUCCAGGAGGACAGAAAUCCGGCAAUGUGGAUAUGAAGACGCAGGAUCCAGCCAGGGCAGGAGAGAAGGACCCGUGCCAGACAUGCCUGAUUCCACACAUCAUCCCUUCUGUCUACCUUGUGGCAGCCAGGCUACAUGGAUCAAAGGCCACUGACCAGCCCAGGGACUGGCUGUGUUUGGGACCCUCCAAGAGUAUCAGCUAGUCUCUUUGAGUCAUGAUCUCCCUACAAGGUGAACAAUUGGGGAAAUACAUGUCACAAAGUGUCAUCUCAGACCACCUGCAGGACACAGCCUCCAGGCUAACUGGGAGCCACGC